AUGCCUUUAUCACUUUACUCAUCCCUCUAUGCCUCUAUCACUUUACUCAUCCCUCUAUCACUUUACCAACCUUUCUAUCCCUUUAUCACUUCACUCAUCCCUUUAUCACUUCACUCAUCCCUUUAUCACUUUAUUCAUCCCUCUAUCACUUUACUCAUCCCUUUAUCACUUUACUUAUCCCUCUAUCACUUUACUCAUCCCUCUAUCAGUUUACACAUCCCUUUAUCACUUUACUCAUAUCUCUAUCACUUUACUCAUCCCUUUAUCGCUUUACUCAUAUCUCUGUCCGUCUAUCAGUUUACACAUCCCUUUAUCACUUUACUCAUCCCUCUAUCAGUUUACCCAUCCCUUUAUCACCUUACUCAUAUCUCUAUCCCUCUAUCAGUUUACACAUCCCUCUAUCACUCUACUUAUCCCUCUAUCACUUCACUCAUCCCUCUAUCAGUUUACUCAUCCCUCUUUCACUUUCCUCAUCCCUCUAUGCCUUUAUCACUUUACUCGUCUCUCUAUCACUUUACUCAUCCCUCUAUCAUGUUACUCAUCCCUCUAUCACGUUACUCAUCCCUCUAUCACUUUACUCAUCCCUCUAUCACUUUAGUCAUCCCUCUAUCAGUGUACUCAUCCCUCUAUGCCUUUAUUACUUUACUCAUCCCUGUAUGCCUCUAUCACUUUACCAAUCUUUCUUUCCCUUUAUCACUUCACUCAUCCCUUUAUCACUUUACUCAUCCCUUUAUCACUUUACUCAUCCCGUUAUCACUUUAUUCAUCCCUCUAUCUGUUUACACAUCCCUUUAUCACUUUAUUCAUAUCUCUAUCCCUCUUAUCAGUUUACACAUCUCUUUAUAACUUUACUCAUAUCUCUAUCCCUCUAUCAGUUUACACAUCCCUUUAUCACUUUACUCAUCCCUUUAUCACUUCACUCAUCCCUCUAUCACGUUACUCAUCCCUCUAUCACUUUACUCAUCCCUCUAUCACUUUAGUCAUCCCUCUAUCAGUGUACUCAUCCCUCUAUGCCUUUAUUACUAUACUCAUCCCUCUAUGCCUCUAUCACUUUACCAAUCUUUCUUUCCCUUUAUCACUUCACUCAUCCCUUUAUCACUUCACUCAUCCCUUUAUCACUUCACUCAUCCCUCUAUCACUUUACUCAUCCCUCUAUCACUUUAUUCAUCCCUCUCUGUUUACACAUCCCUUUAUCACUUUAUUCAUAUCUCUAUCCCUCUUAUCAGUUUACACAUCCCUUUAUCACUUUACUCAUAUCUCUAUCCCUCUAUCAGUUUACACAUCCCUUUAUCACUUUACUCAUCCCUUUAUCACUUCACUCAUCCCUCUAUCACUUUACUCAUCCCUUUAUGACUUUAUUCAUCCCUCUAUCAGUUUACACAUCCCUUUAUCACUUUACUCAUAUCUCUAUCACUUUACUCAUCCCUUUAUCACUUUACUCAUAUCUCUGUCCCUCUAUCAGUUUACACAUCCCUUUAUCACUUCACUCAUCCCUUUGUCACUUUACUCAUAUAUCUAUCCGUCUAUCAGUUUACUCAUCCCUUUAUCACCUUACUCAUAUCUCUAUCCCUCUAUCAAUUUACACAUCCCUCUAUCACUCUACUUAUCCCUCUAUCACUUUACUCAUCUCUCUAUCCCUCUAUCACUUUACUCAUCCCUUUAUCGCUUUACUCAUCCCUUUAUCGCUUUACUCAUCCCUUUAUCAGUUUACUCAUCCCUUUAUCCCUUUAUCACUUUACUCAUAUCUCUAUCCCUCUAUCAGUUUACACAUCCCUCUGUCCCUCUAUCACUUUACUUAUCUCUCUAUCCCUUUAUCACUUUACUCAUCUCUCUAUCCCUUUAUCACUUUACUCAUCACUCUUUCCCUUAUGGCUGGUCUCAGACGAUCCUGCAGGUGAAUAAGCCGGUGUGGGGGUCCUGGGCUGGCGUGGUUACAUGUGGUCUGCGGUUGUGA
rnacentral:lncRNA from 8 species